GAAUGGGAUUGGGUCACUCUGUAACACCCACUAUGGGCAUACCUGGCCUUGAGUGUUGGCUUUUUUUUUUUUUUUUUAACAAUGCUUAUAUGGUAGAGAAACCCUGUAAAAGAAGAAUCCAAGAAGAGAUUCUGAAAGAAAAACCAAUUUAAAAAGUUGAGGUUAUUUGGGUGAGUUAAUUGCUCUCAACCACAGCACAGCAGGUUGUCCUUGGCCAACAGUGAUGGUACAGUGGUUAGUACUCUGCAUUGCGACCCUAGUAACCUUGGCUUGAAUCCGAGUUAUGACAUCAUCUAACUCACUGUUAUCUAACUCAUUGUUUUCCUCGUUAAACAACCCCCAUUAAAGCCGCUAUGAUAUGAUGAAACUUCCCGCUAUGAAACUGGAGACUGCAAACAAUUGAAUUAAACUUUCAAGGUCCCACCUGGUGGAACUCCCAGCCUCAGCUCACAAGGAGCAGAGACCUGCCUCGUUUGGAGGAAAGGCCAACAGUCACCCAGAGGCUAGGUCUGCAGCACCCCCCAGUCCUAACCCUCGCCCCCCCCCCCACUCCUGAGAGGCCAGGCAAAGGCAGCAAAAGGGCUUGACCCCCGUGCACCGGAACAACUCUUUUUACUUUAUAGGAAAGAUUGAAGAAAAGCACCCAGCAUUGGCUUGGAAAGCAAAUUCUUUGCUACUACUAGUUAGAAGACAAAAUACCCCCCCCCAAAAAAAUAGAAGACAAAAUCCCAGCUGUUCAUCAUCUAGUUUGUUCAGUCCGUAGUGUAUGACUUCCCCCUGAUGUCCUAAUUAUCAUACUGAAAUGGACUUUUUCUUUUGGUACAAAUUCUCCAUAAAUUUUAACAUAUAUGUAGAUUUGCAGAGUCAUCACCAUAAUUAGAAUACAUAACAGUUUCAUCUCACCAAAAAUCUCCAUGCUAUUUUGUUACUGUCACAACUCCCCACAAACAUAGCCCCUUGCAAUCACUAAUCUGUUGAUCGCUAUAGUUCUAUCUUUUUGAGAUGGUCCUAAGAAUGGAAGCAUAUAGUAUAUGGCCUUUUCAGACUGGCUUCUCUUAUACAGCAUGGAGACUCUGAGAUUCUUUUAAGUUGUGUAUAUCAACAAUUUCUUUUCAUUGUGGAAUAUUCUAUCCAGUGGGUAUACCACUGUUUUGUCUAUCAAUUAACACUUUGAAGGAUAUGUGAUGAUUGUAGCUUUGGCUUUUUACAAAUAAAGUUUUUAUGAGCAUUCCUGCA
rnacentral:lncRNA from 12 species